rnacentral:rRNA from 1 species
GAUCCUGGCUCAGGAUGAACGCUAGCUACAGGCUUAACACAUGCAAGUCGAGGGGCAGCAUUUUAGUUUGCUUGCAAACUGAAGAUGGCGACCGGCGCACGGGUGAGUAACACGUAUCCAACCUGCCGAUAACUCCGGGAUAGCCUUUCGAAAGAAAGAUUAAUACCGGAUAGCAUACGAAUAUCGCAUGAUAUUUUUAUUUAAAGAAAUUCGGUUGUCGAUGGGGAGUGCGUUCCAUUAGUUUGUUUGGG